rnacentral:misc_RNA from 1 species
UUAAGUUCAGCGGGUAUUCCUACCUGAUCCGAGGUCAACCAUGUGCCGCGCGGGGGCGGGCUUGUGGGGGGUUUUGACGGCUAGAAGAGUCCCCAGGGGCUCCCGAUGCGAGGCGUUAGUUACUACGCAAGGGAAGGGCCGCCGUGGGUCCGCCGCUGGUUUCAGGGACACGCCAGGCGUGGAACCCCAACACCGGGCCG